AAUCAACGCGAAGGAUUGUUUCAACCAUGUGUAUUCACAAUUCCAUGUGGUCAUGGACGUGUUCAAGGAGUUCCACUAUGGAGGAUACCCCAUAGGUAGGCUUUACCAGAUAGGUAGAAGAGAUGGAAAAUCUCAACCGAGCAGGCACGGUGCUGUGAUGAAACGCAAGAAAAUGGUAUUGCUAACUGGUCGCUAUCGCAAUAGAUAUGAGGUACGCACCUCAUUGAACCAAGUAGAGGAUAGUGUGGCAGCUAUGUCAAUCGCUUGGAGUGCCAUAAGAUAGUUGUCCAAUUGAUGCUGGUAAUCAGAUAUAAGACCAGACGCGAGUACGAGUAGCCCAAAGUUGGAAUAUAUUAGAAGAUUAAUAUGCUGAAUGGUGGGUGAAAGUUGUUGGUAGCCAAUCCAGCCAUAGAUUGACGUAAGUUGGGAUGGAAAGAUAUGGGGUCGCUCCCUGUGUCUCAGCUCCAUUUCCUAUGUGACCGAAUUACCACUACGUUUUAUGAAGGUACGAUGAAGAUCGGAGACAAUCUUUCGCGUUGG
rnacentral:ncRNA from 1 species